GACGAACGCUGGCGGCGUGCUUAACACAUGCAAGUCGAACGGAGAAUUUGGCUUCGGUAUAAUUCUUAGUGGCGAACGGGUGAGUAACGCGUAGACAACCUACCUCUAAGAUGGGGACAACAUCGCGAAAGCGGCGCUAAGACCGAAAGAUGUAACUUUUCUGCAUGGAAGAGUUACCAAAGGCGGCUGCUAUUUAUAAGCUGUCACGGAUAGAUGGGUCGGCGUCUGAUUAGCUAGUGGGCGUGGUAAUGGCCCACCAAGGGGACGAUCAGUAGCCGGUCUGCGAGGAUGACCGGCCACAUUGGGACUGAGACACGGCCCAAACUCCUACGGGAGGCAGCAGUGAGGAAUCUUCCGCAAUGGACGAAAGUCUGACGGAGCAACGCAGCGUGAGUGAAGAAGGUUUUCGGAUCGUAAAGCUCUGUUGUUUGAGACGAAUGUGCAAUUUUUGAAUAAGGAAUUGUAAUGACGGUAUUAAACGAGAAAGCCACGGCUAACUACGUGCCAGCCGCCGCCGUAA
rnacentral:rRNA from 1 species